UGCGAACGGGUGAGUAACGCGUAGGUAACCUGCCUCUUAGCGGGGGAUAACUAUUGGAAACGAUAGCUAAUACCGCAUAAAAGUCGACAUCGCAUGAUGUUGACUUGAAAGGUGCAAUUGCAUCACUAAGAGAUGGACCUGCGUUGUAUUAGCUAGUUGGUGAGGUAACGGCUCACCAAGGCGACGAUACAUAGCCGACCUGAGAGGGUGAUCGGCCACACUGGGACUGAGACACGGCCCAG
rnacentral:rRNA from 1 species